rnacentral:rRNA from 1 species
CCUACGGGUGGCAGCAGUGGGGAAUAUUGGACAAUGGGGGCAACCCUGAUCCAGCCAUGCCGCGUGUGUGAAGAAGGCCCUCGGGUUGUAAAGCACUUUCAGUGAGGAAGAACGCCUGGUGGUUAAUACCCAUCAGGAAAGACAUCACUCACAGAAGAAGCACCGGCUAACUCCGUGCCAGCAGCCGCGGUAAUACGGAGGGUGCGAGCGUUAAUCGGAAUUACUGGGCGUAAAGCGCGCGUAGGAGGCUUGAUAAGCCGGUUGUGAAAGCCCCGGGCUCAACCUGGGAACGGCAUCCGGAACUGUCAAGCUAGAGUGCAGGAGAGGAAGGUAGAAUUCCCGGUGUAGCGGUGAAAUGCGUAGAGAUCGGGAGGAAUACCAGUGGCGAAGGCGGCCUUCUGGACUGACACUGACACUGAGGUGCGAAAGCGUGGGUAGCAAACAGGAUUAGAUACCCGUGUAGUC